GGUUCAUUAGCUCAGUUAGUUAGAGCAUUGUGCUAAUAACCUGAAAUCGACAGGUUCAAGUCUUGCUUGGGCCA
rfam:Glycine max cultivar Williams 82 chromosome 11, whole genome shotgun sequence.